rnacentral:rRNA from 1 species
AAUCAACGCUGGCGGCGUGCCUCAGACAUGCAAGUCGAACGAUUAAACUUUCCUUCGGGAAAGAUAUAAAGUGGCGCACGGGUGAGUAACACGUAGGUAAUGUACCUUUGGGUGGGGAAUAACCAUCGGAAACGAUGGCUAAUACCGCAUAAUGCAGCGGCAUCGCAAGAUGACAGUUGUUAAAGAUUUAUCGCCUAAAGAGCAGCCUGCGGCAGAUUAGGAGUUGGUAAGGUAAUGGCUUACCAAGCCUGCGAUCUGUAACCGACCUGAGAGGGUGGUCGGUCACACUGACACUGAAUAACGGGUCAGACUCCUACGGGAGGCAGCAGUCGGGAAUUUUGGGCAAUGGGCGAAAGCCUGACCCAGCAACGCCGCGUGAAGGACGAAGUCUUUCGGGAU